rnacentral:lncRNA from 1 species
GUUGCCCCUAAAAAUCUUCUUUUUAUCAAAUUUUAUUACAUUUUGAAGCGGCACAGAAGCCAGAAAACGCCCGGUGUUUAUGUUUGACGCCGGAAGCAUACCUAUGACGUCACCUAGUGUAGGGACCAAAGAAGAUAACAUCUUUUCGCGGAAUUUUCUUUAAUGAAGAUUUUACACUGAAAUAAUGAUUGAAAUUUAAUUAUGAACUUGUUUUGCAUUAGAAUAGAGAUAACUGUAUUGUAUUUGAAGCUUUGCGGACGUCCAUCGGUAGUUUUACUGUCGCAAAUACCCGUUUACCUGUCUCCGCUCCGCGUCGCCAGGUAAACUUAAUUUGCGACAGUAAAACUACCGAUGGACGUCCUUAAAGCUUCAAAUACAAUACAGUUAUCUCUUAAGUAUAC